AGAGUUUGAUCCUGGCUCAGAUUGAACGCUGGCGGCAGGCCUAACACAUGCAAGUCGAGCGGAUGAAGGGAGCUUGCUCCCUGAUUUAGCGGCGGACGGGUGAGUAAUGCCUAGGAAUCUGCCUGGUAGUGGGGGAUAACGUUCCGAAAGGAACGCUAAUACCGCAUACGUCCUACGGGAGAAAGCAGGGGACCUUCGGGCCUUGCGCUAUCAGAUGAGCCUAGGUCGGAUUAGCUAGUUGGUGAGGUAAUGGCUCACCAAGGCGACGAUCCGUAACUGGUCUGAGAGGAUGAUCAGUCACACUGGAACUGAGACACGGUCCAGACUCCUACGGGAGGCAGCAGUGGGGAAUAUUGGACAAUGGGCGAAAGCCUGAUCCAGCCAUGCCGCGUGUGUGAAGAAGGUCUUCGGAUUGUAAAGCACUUUAAGUUGGGAGGAAGGGCAUUAACCUAAUACGUUAGUGUUUUGACGUUACCGACAGAAUAAGCACCGGCUAACUUCGUGCCAGCAGCCGCGGUAAUACGAAGGGUGCAAGCGUUAAUCGGAAUUACUGGGCGUAAAGCGCGCGUAGGUGGUUCGUUAAGUUGGAUGUGAAAGCCCCGGGCUCAACCUAGGAACUGCAUCCAAAACUGGCGAGCUAGAGUACGGUAGAGGGUGGUGGAAUUCCACGUGUAGCGGUGAAAUGCGUAGA
rnacentral:rRNA from 1 species